GGAGCCGGCCAGGCAAUCGCCCCGCAAGGGGAGGAAAGUCCGGGCUCCCUCGGACAGGACGCCAGGUAACGCCUGGGGGGCGCGAGCCCACGGAAAGUGCAACAGAAAGCAAACCGCCAAAGCGCCGCGAGGCGCCGGCAAGGGUGAAAUGGUGCGGUAAGAGCGCACCGCGCGGGUGGUAACACGCCGCGGCACGGUAAACCCCGUCCGGAGCAAGACCAAAUAGGGGAGUACGCGGCGCGAGCCGCACCGCCGGUCCCGAGCGGACUCCCGGGUAGGUCGCUAGAGGCAGCCGGUGACGGUUGCCCCAGAUGAAUGAUUGCCCUCGACAGAACCCGGCUUACCGGCCGGCUCCACUC
rnacentral:RNase_P_RNA from 1 species